rnacentral:rRNA from 1 species
UACGUAGGUGGCAAGCGUUGUCCGGAUUUAUUGGGCGUAAAGCGCGCGCAGGCGGUUCGUCGCGUCCGAGGUGAAAUCUCCCGGCUCAACUGGGAGGGGUCUUCGGAUACGGGCGGACUUGAGGAGAGCAGAGGUGAGUGGAAUUCUCGGUGUAGUGGUGAAAUGCGUAGAUAUCGAGAGGAACACCAGUGGCGAAGGCGGCUCACUGGGCUCCACCUGACGCUGAGGCGCGAAAGCGUGGGGAGCGAACCGG